rnacentral:rRNA from 1 species
UCCUACGGGGGGCAGCAGUGGGGAAUAUUGCACAAUGGGGGGAACCCUGAUGCAGCGACGCCGCGUGAGUGAAGAAGUAUUUCGGUAUGUAAAGCUCUAUCAGCAGGAACGAGACAAGACGGUACCUGACUAAGAAGCCCCGGCUAACUACGUGCCAGCAGCCGCGGUAAUACGUAGGGGGCAAGCGUUAUCCGGAAUUACUGGGUGUAAAGGGAGCGUAGACGGUUAAGUAAGUCUGGAGUGAAAGGCCGGGGGCCAACCCAGGGACUG